rnacentral:rRNA from 1 species
AGAGUUUGAUCAUGGCUCAGAAUCAACGCUGGCGGCGUGCCUAACACAUGCAAGUCGAGCGAGAGGAAGUAGCAAUACUUUAGUAAAGCGGCGCACGGGUGAGUAACACGUGGAUAACCUGCCUCGAAGUGGGGAAUAACCCCGGGAAACCGGAGCUAAUACCGCAUAAUCUGACGAGAUCUGUGGAUUUUGUCAGCAAAGGAGCAAUUCGCUUUGAGAGGGGUCCGCGGCUGAUUAGCUAGUUGGUGAGGUAAUGGCUCACCAAGGCCACGAUCAGUAGCCGGUCUGAGAGGACGGUCGGCCACACUGGAACUGAGACACGGUCCAGACUCCUACGGGAGGCAGCAGUGGGGAAUUUUUCGCAAUGGGGGCAACCCUGACGAAGCAACGCCGCGUGGGUGAUGAAGUAUUUCGGUACGUAAAACCCUUUCGACGGGGACGAAAGCCGCAAGGUUUGACGGUACCCGUAGAAGAAGCCCCGGCUAACUCCGUGCCAGCAGCCGCGGUAAUACGGGGGGGGCAAGCGUUGUUCGGAAUUACUGGGCGUAAAGGGCGCGUAGGCGGUUUGCUAAGUUGGAUGUGAAAACUCUGGGCUUAACCCAGAGCCUGCAUCCAAAACUGGCAAACUUGAGUACUGGAGGGGAAAGCGGAAUUCCUGGUGUAGCGGUGAAAUGCGUAGAUAUCAGGAGGAACACCGGUGGCGAAGGCGGCUUUCUGGACAGUAACUGACGCUGAGGCGCGAAAGCUAGGGGAGCAAACAGGAUUAGAUACCCUGGUAGUCCUAGCCCUAAACGAUGGAUACUUGGUGUGAGGGGGAUUGAAUCCCUUCGUGCCGUAGCUAACGCAAUAAGUAUCCCGCCUGGGGAGUACGGUCGCAAGGCUGAAACUCAAAUGAAUUGACGGGG